GGAGACCCCACUAUCCAGUUGAAAUUUUGCAGGACAUUUACCGAUUAACAUUGUCACAUGAAAGAAGGUUUGAAUCUUAUUUUGGAGUUUUGCAAAUGAGGAAACUAGAGACCCAUAAGAAAAAAUUUCCAGUAUACACAGCUGGGGAGUAGCUCCCAGAGUCACGGUGGAUGAUGGGAUGGGUCAAGAGCUCAAACCAGAUACCUGAAUGAGUUGCUGGAAACAUUCUUAUCAGUAAAAUAUUCAUAAAGGAUUGUAUAUUUGUGAGCCACAAAAUGUUUGGCAGAGGCCUAGAGGAAGGAAGGAAGGAAGGACAGAGAAAGAAAA